UCGAUGGAUAUGACGUGAAUGGGGUUAGUGCGAGCGUGAGAACCCUGUACUAUAAGAUGGUCAUCCCCUGUACCCCCCUUGUCCACUAUUCUCGAAUCAAGAGUCCCGAGAAAAUGCUGCAUACGUUCCAGACGAUUUUGGACCUUCUGGUCCACAUUCGUCCGCCGUUUGGUAAGUUUUUCUCUAUCUCUUCUUGUUUAGAAAUAGUUAUUUUUCUAAUACCUAACGUUCCUCUGUAGGUUUCACUGUGACACACAUUGUGCAGCUAUUUUUCCAGCUGAUCCCCGGUGCGGGGGGAGAUGUGCCCCGCUUGGAUAUGGAGACGUUUUUGCAAGCGUUCGCCAUCGUAGACGAAGAAGACAUUGAGACGGCCACCACAGAAGUGCUCAUGGCGUGCUACGGCAGGGAGUGGCGCGAAAUCGCUGUGCAGCGGGGACUAGAGGGGGAGCUCUUUUUCAGAGUGCCCCGAAGCUUAGAGGAGCAUACUUUACCGCUAGAAGGUACUGCUCCUUUAAGCUUCGGGGAAGCAGAGCACCUCCUCUACUCCCUGGUGCACCAGUGGAACAGAGCGAGUGCAGCGGGUUGGAGAGAACUCGCUGAACGCUGGAUGGCGAGUCAAAUACCAUUGGAUCCCUGGGUUCUUAUAGAAGACCAUGAAGCACCCAUGUAAACACGUCAGCCAAUAAACGCAUAUCGUCUUUCGCAUCACGCGACUCUCUCUCUCUCUCUCUCUCUCUCUGUCUGCCCCAAUACAAUAGGAGAAUAGGAAACCACAGAUCCUGCGUAUAAAAGCGAGCGUGGGAUAGACCGCAGUUAAAGAUGAUGAUGUCGACGAUGUCACCACCACCACCACCACAACGUUCGGUCUGCUUGCGCCGGAGGUACACACAGGAGAAUUAUUUCAAAUUGGGGGGAGGGACUUCAUGCCUAACAUGAGGUCCGAUUAGGCUCCGCGAAGUUCAAAAUUAGGGGGAGCAUCGCCCGCAUUAUUCAAAAUUCGGGGAGGGCGUGAAUUCAUGGCCAAUAUGAAUUCUGAUUAGGUUUAAUGGGGAAUUGUGGGGCGUCCCCCGCACCAGUCAAAAUUGGGAAUGGGUAAGGGAGUUCAUGUCAAACAUGAAUUCUGAUUAGGUGUAAUUGGGAAGAUUUGGGGGGUACAUUUUAAUCUGGCCUUAUUCAAAAUUGAACUCCUUCUUUCAUUUUUCGUUAGAUUAUUCCAAAACGGGGGGGAGAAUUCGUGCAUAACACGAAUUUCAUUAGCGACCAUGCUGAUUAUACAAAAUUAAGGAGUUCUUAAAGGGAGAAUUAUUUCAAAUUGGGGUUAAAUUAAAACCUUCUUUCAU